ACGUGCUAUGAUGAUAUCUUACCGCCCCAGUCUGAAUAUUAGUGACAGGUAGCACUGAGCACCU
rnacentral:snoRNA from 1 species